rnacentral:lncRNA from 1 species
UCCUGCAAAUUUCAAAAGUAAAAACACCAUCAAUUUUCUCUUUUACACACCAAAAAGUACACAACAUAUGAAUCAAAUUUCAAUACAAACUAUUCAAACUGGAAUGCAAAACAGCAAAAGGGCUUUCAACAUUCGCCACUAGAAAGAGUUUAUGCUUCUAAACAUCAUGCUAUUUCCCAUUUUUGGACAAUAAAUGAGAGAAUAUUUUUCUGUCAUUUUUCAUUUGUCUCAAUUUCCCAGCAUACAAAUUAUUUUUUUUAGCAAAAGAUUGUCAUUCUACAAGUUUAUUUUGUUUAAUACAUCUUUUCCACCCACAUGGGACCGUUAUAAUUCCUGGUUAAGGUUUGGCGCGGCUUACAAUUCUCAUUGUUAUCUGACCUUAACCAUUUUUACUGAUAGUUUAGGAAAAAUUAAAUGGAGAUAACUUGGGAAAUCAUACUAAGUAUUAUUUAAAAUAAAGAAACAAAUGUGAGAAAACUUGGCCAGAACUGAAAGUAGCAUCAUGUGUUGGCAUUUUUAGUGUGUUAGAAAGAUGUUUGGGUAAAAUAAGUGGUUCAAACCAGACGAAUUAGGAUUCAAACCAAAAUAUUUAGUGGGCACACGGUGUACUAUGACACUCUGAUGGCUGAAAGUAGAAAAAUACAUGGCCUGCAGAAUUUAACCACAAUAAAUGUUAUUUAAUUUAAAGAGAGUGACAGAGAUUAAUUGUGAGCAUGUUUUCCUAUAAGAAAAAUUGCACAUAGUAAAAGAACAUGUUACAUUAUCACUGCUGCGACUUUUCUAUAAUCUUCAUUUGCUUCUGAAUUAUUAUUGCACCAAAGAGAAAAUGAGAAUAUCUUUUUCCAAAGGAUUUUUCUUUAUAAACUAUAGAUGUCUUACUUUAGAAUGUCACUUCAAAUAUCCAUGCCCUCUCAGAAUUUUCUAAAAAUGAAAAAAAAAAAAUGAGUCUCAUGAUCUCUGUCAAAAAGUGACUGUGAUGAUGCAAAUCACAACAAAGUGGUUUUUAACACUUUUUCAUUUUCAAUUAUACAGACUCAAAUAAAAACUGUUUUGUUUUUAAAGUAAGAAAGUCCCUAGUGCUUCCAAAACAUUCCAGAUUAAGGAGAAACAUGUUAGAAUGGGGUGUUUGCUACAAGAUACAAAGGAAAGACUCAAGAGUUCUGCCUGACUUAACCCUCACAGCUCUAAGAGGAGGAAGAUUGGGAAAUUCUACUCAAUCCUUGAUGGGCAGAAAAUGAUUCAUUUCUGAAAGCUAAGAUCCACAGCCUUGGAUCAUUAUAACUUACUGAGGAAUACUGAGAAUUAAAAUGUUCUAGUAUAGUUGGAGUGGGGAGGAGAAAGGGGGCAAUGAAAAAGCAGGAAAUUUUAAACUUUAUUUUUUAUAUUAAGUUUUGCUAACACAUCAUGUUUUAAAUAUGCUAUCAGAGCUUAUUCUGUAAAAAUAUUAGUGAAUUCCCUUUUGCAUAAUCUCUUAUCAUGAUGAUAUUCCCACUCUGUUUUAAAAAUUACAUUUCCUUUAAUUUUUCCUUUGUACAACUAUCAUCAACAUUCAUUUUAAGGAAACAUGUAUAUCAUAUAUACCACAUAUACAUGUAUGUAUAUGUGUGUGUGUCUGUGUACGUAUGGAUUGGGGAGAGGAAGGGAAGGAAAAUUGAAUCCUCUUAAUGGAGUAUACUCCACAGUCUAUGACUUUUGGGGGAAGGGGAUGGGGAGAUUGGCCAAAUUGUACAAUUGCAAAAACUGUCUCUGAUGGAUCAAAAAGGGAAUUAAGUCAGAUUUUAAAGAUAAGUUCUGCAAUGUAUAGAGGACCAGAAUAUUUAGAGAAAUCUGGUCUCAAAAGUAAGAGAAAGCACUAUUUGGAGAGCAAAUGAAUGAAAAAAGAUGGUACUUUUAGCUUGAUGGGUAUAAUGAGAUGAUAUAACUUGUAGAGGGCCAGAAUGAUGAUGAUGAUGGAUUCAAAAGUUUUUCUGUUUUAAUGAGCAGUGG